CCCUUAGACGUUCUGGGCCGCACGCGCGCUACACUGACCAGUGCAACAAGCAUCCGUCCUUGGCCGACAGGCCCGGGCAAUCUUUGAACGCUGGUCGUGAUGGGGAUAGACUUUUGCAAUUUUUGGUCUUCAACGAGGAAUUCCUAGUAAACGCAAGUCAUCAACUUGCUUUGAUUACGUCCCUGCCCUUUGUACACACCGCCCGUCGCACCUACCGAUUGAAUGGUCCGGUGAAGCCUCCGGAUUGGCGCGCACCUCGGUGCCGCCGAGAAGUUGGCUAAACCUUACCAUUUAGAGGAAGGUGAAGUCGUAACA
rnacentral:rRNA from 1 species